GUAAGCAGAGCCUGUUAUAUCUAAAUCUGCAUAUUGGCUAUGAACUAAAUUUUGAACCUGUGGAAAACGUAUUGGGAGACUGGUUUAAAUUCAGGGGGUCAGGGGAACGGUCUGUGAGUUAGAGUCUCACUAUAAGUCGGGUUAGAGGCCCGUUACCGGUGUGUGAGUUAGAGUCUCACUGUAAGUCGGGUUAGAGGCCCGCUACCGGUGUGUGAGUUAGAGUCUCACUGUAAGUCGGGUUAGAGGCCCAACUCCCCAAAUUCUGUAUCUGGGUUAGAGUCCCGGGGAGUUUUAGAACUCCCCAAAUUCUGUAUCUGGGUUAGAGUCCCGGGGAGUUUUGGAACUCCCCAAAUUCUGUAUCUGGGUUGGAGUCCCGGGGAGUUUUGGAACUCCCCAAAUUCUGUAUCUGGGUUGGAGGCCCGGGGAGUUUUGGAACUCCCCAAAUUCUGUAUAAGAGAACUGGGUUCAAGUCCCAAAAAGUGUUGGGUCAGGGACCCGUUCAGCUGGGUUAGAG
ensembl:lncRNA